rnacentral:rRNA from 1 species
UGUCCUGGACCCGAAGCGGGGUGAUCUACCCAUGGCCAGUGUGAAGCAGUAGUAAGAUGCUGUGGAGGCGCGAACCCACGUAGGUUGAAAACUGCGGGGAUGAGUUGUGGGUAGGGGUGAAAGGCCAAUCAAACUCCGUGAUAGCUGGUUCUCCCCGAAAUGCAUUUAGGUGCAGCGUCGCAUUAGCUUGGUGGAGGUAGAGCUACUGGUUGGUUGAGCGGGACUACAAUCUUAGCAAUGUCAGCCAAACUCCGAAUGCCAUCAAUGUGUUGUGCGGCAGUGAGACUGUGGGGGAUAAGCUUCAUAGUCGAGAGGGAAACAGCCCAGAUCGCCGGUUAAGGCCCCUAAGGGUGUGCUAAGUGGAAAAGGAUGUGGGAUCGCGAAGACAGCCAGGAGGUUGGCUUAGAAGCAGCCAUCCUUGAAAGAGUGCGUAAUAGCUCACUGGUCGAGUGGUCCUGCGCCGACAAUGUAGUGGGGCUCAAGCACACCGCCGAAGCCGCGGCAAACUUUUUGUUUGGGUAGGGGAGCGUCGUGCAUGUGUUGAAGCGUUACCGUAAGGAGGCGUGGAGUGUGUGCGAGUGAGAAUGCAGGCAUGAGUAACGAAUUGGAAGGUGAGAAUCCUUCCCGCCGGAUGACUAAGGGUUCCUGGGUCAAGUUCGUCUUCCCAGGGUGAGUCGGGACCUAAGGCGAGGCCGACAGGCGUAGUCGAUGGACAACCAGUUGAUAUUCUGGUACCCGUAUAUCCGCGCCCAUGAUAAAGCACUGAUACUAACCACCGCGGAUACGAAUUGUGCGCUCUUUGAGUGUGUGGUUUGUUGAUGUCGUGGGGCCUGAUGUGUGGUUCAAGUGAUGGGGUGACACAGUGUAGUAGCCAUGCCGCUUAGUGGAUUGUUGGUGUAAGCGUGUGAGGUGGUGUGUAGGCAAAUCCGCACACCGUAUGCCUGAGGCGUGAUGCGUAGCCCAAUUGGGGUGAAGUUGGUGAUCUAGUACUGUCGAGAAAAGCCUCUAGCGAUGUGGAUGUAUGGCCCGUACCCUAAACCGACACAGGUGGUCAGGUUGAAAAUACUAAGGCGUUCGGGUGAACUGUGGUUAAGGAACUCGGCAAAAUGCCCCCGUAACUUCGGGAGAAGGGGGACCACACGACUUAAACCAGCCUUUGCGUUGGUGGUGGGUUGUGGGGUCGCAGAGAAUAGAGGGAAGCGACUGUUUAUCAAAAACACAGGUCCAUGCGAAGACGUUAAGUUGAUGUAUAUGGACUGACGCCUGCCCGGUGCUGGAAGGUUAAGAGGACCGGUUAGUAGUCUUUGACUGCGAAGCUGAGAAUUUAAGCCCCAGUAAACGGCGGUGGUAACUAUAACCAUCCUAAGGUAGCGAAAUUCCUUGUCGGGUAAGUUCCGACCUGCACGAAUGGCGUAACGACUUCUCUGCUGUCUCAACCACAGGCCCGGUGAAAUUGCACUACGAGUAAAGAUGCUCGUUACGCGCGGCAGGACGAAAAGACCCCGGGACCUUCACUAUAGCUUGGUAUUGGUGUUCGGUUCGGUUUGUGUAGGAUAGGUGGGAGACUGUGAUGCAUGCACGCCAGUGUGUGUGGAGUCGUUGUUGAAAUACCACUCUGAUCGGAUUGGAUGUCUAACCUUGGCCCAUGAUCUGGGUUGGGGACAGUGCCUGGUGGGUAGUUUAACUGGGGCGGUUGCCUCCCAAAAUGUAACGGAGGCGCCCAAAGGUUCCCUCAGCCUGGUUGGCAAUCAGGUGGUGAGUGUAAGUGCACAAGGGAGCUUGACUGUGAGACAGACAUGUCGAACAGGGACGAAAGUCGGGACUAGUGAUCCGGCACCUACUUGUGGAUGUGGUGUCGCUCAACGGAUAAAAGGUACCCCGGGGAUAACAGGCUGAUCUUCCCCAAGAGUCCAUAUCGACGGGAUGGUUUGGCACCUCGAUGUCGGCUCGUCGCAUCCUGGGGCUGGAGUAGGUCCCAAGGGUUGGGCUGUUCGCCCAUUAAAGCGGCACGCGAGCUGGGUUCAGAACGUCGUGAGACAGUUCGGUCUCUAUCCGCCGCGCGCGUUGAAACUUGAAGAAGGCUGUCCCUAGUACGAGAGGACCGGGACGGACGUACCUCUAGUGUGCCAGUUGUUCCGCCAGGAGCAUGGCUGGUUGGCUACGUACGGAAGGGAUAACCGCUGAAAGCAUCUAAGCGGGAAGCCUGUUUUAAGAUGAGGUUUCGUAUUUGAGGUCCCCCAAAGACGAUGGGGUUGAUAGGCCAGACCUGGAAGCACUGUAAAGUGUGGAGGCUACUGGUACUAAUAGACCAAAACAAACACACACA